rnacentral:rRNA from 1 species
GGGUUGUGAGGUUAAGCGACUAAGCGUACACGGUGGAUGCCCUGGCAGUCAGAGGCGAUGAAGGACGUGCUAAUCUGCGAAAAGCGCCGGCGAGGUGAUAUGAACCCUUGACCCGGCGAUGUCCGAAUGGGGAAACCCAGUGCAAUUCGUUGCACUAUCGUUAACUGAAUACAUAGGUUAACGAGGCGAACCGGGGGAACUGAAACAUCUAAGUACCCCGAGGAAAAGAAAUCAACCGAGAUUCCCCCAGUAGCGGCGAGCGAACGGGGAGCAGCCCAGAGUCUGAAUCAGCUUGUGUGUUAGUGGAAGCGUCUGGAAAGUCGCACGGUACAGGGUGAUAGUCCCGUACACGAAAGCACACAGGCUGUGAACUCGAAGAGUAGGGCGGGACACGUGGUAUCCUGUCUGAAUAUGGGGGGACCAUCCUCCAAGGCUAAAUACUCCUGACUGACCGAUAGUGAACCAGUACCGUGAGGGAAAGGCGAAAAGAACCCCGGCGAGGGGAGUGAAAAAGAACCUGAAACCGUGUACGUACAAGCAGUGGGAGCACCUUCGGGUGUGACUGCGUACCUUUUGUAUAAUGGGUCAGCGACUUAUAUUCUGUAGCAAGGUUAACCGUAUAGGGGAGCCGAAGGGAAACCGAGUCUUAACUGGGCGUUAAGUUGCAGGGUAUAGACCCGAAACCCGGUGAUCUAGCCAUGGGCAGGUUGAAGGUUGGGUAACACUAACUGGAGGACCGAACCGACUAAUGUUGAAAAAUUAGCGGAUGACCUGUGGCUGGGGGUGAAAGGCCAAUCAAACCGGGAGAUAGCUGGUUCUCCCCGAAAGCUAUUUAGGUAGCGCCUCGUGAACUCAUCUUCGGGGGUAGAGCACUGUUUCGGCUAGGGGGCCAUCCCGGCUUACCAACCCGAUGCAAACUACGAAUACCGAAGAAUGUUAUCACGGGAGACACACGGCGGGUGCUAACGUCCGUCGUGAAGAGGGAAACAACCCAGACCGCCAGCUAAGGUCCCAAAGUCAUGGUUAAGUGGGAAACGAUGUGGGAAGGCCCAGACAGCCAGGAUGUUGGCUUAGAAGCAGCCAUCAUUUAAAGAAAGCGUAAUAGCUCACUGGUCGAGUCGGCCUGCGCGGAAGAUGUAACGGGGCUAAACCAUGCACCGAAGCUGCGGCAGCGACACUCUGUGUUGUUGGGUAGGGGAGCGUUCUGUAAGCCGUUGAAGGUGGCCUGUGAGGGCUGCUGGAGGUAUCAGAAGUGCGAAUGCUGACAUAAGUAACGAUAAAGCGGGUGAAAAGCCCGCUCGCCGGAAGACCAAGGGUUCCUGUCCAACGUUAAUCGGGGCAGGGUGAGUCGACCCCUAAGGCGAGGCCGAAAGGCGUAGUCGAUGGGAAACAGGUUAAUAUUCCUGUACUUGGUGUUACUGCGAAGGGGGGACGGAGAAGGCUAUGUUAGCCGGGCGACGGUUGUCCCGGUUUAAGCAUGUAGGCGGAGGUUCCAGGUAAAUCCGGUACCUUUUAACGCUGAGGUGUGAUGACGAGGCACUACGGUGCUGAAGUAACAAAUGCCCUGCUUCCAGGAAAAGCCUCUAAGCAUCAGGUAACACGAAAUCGUACCCCAAACCGACACAGGUGGUCAGGUAGAGAAUACCAAGGCGCUUGAGAGAACUCGGGUGAAGGAACUAGGCAAAAUGGUGCCGUAACUUCGGGAGAAGGCACGCUGAUAUGUAGGUGAAGCCCCUGCGGGUGGAGCUGAAAUCAGUCGAAGAUACCAGCUGGCUGCAACUGUUUAUUAAAAACACAGCACUGUGCAAACACGAAAGUGGACGUAUACGGUGUGACGCCUGCCCGGUGCCGGAAGGUUAAUUGAUGGGGUUAGCGGUAACGCGAAGCUCUUGAUCGAAGCCCCGGUAAACGGCGGCCGUAACUAUAACGGUCCUAAGGUAGCGAAAUUCCUUGUCGGGUAAGUUCCGACCUGCACGAAUGGCGUAAUGAUGGCCAGGCUGUCUCCACCCGAGACUCAGUGAAAUUGAACUCGCUGUGAAGAUGCAGUGUACCCGCGGCAAGACGGAAAGACCCCGUGAACCUUUACUAUAGCUUGACACUGAACACUGGUCCUUGAUGUGUAGGAUAGGUGGGAGGCUUUGAAGCGUGGACGCCAGUCUGCGUGGAGCC